CUCGUUUAAAUGGUUAUCUAUUCUGCCGGCAUAGUUACAUGCCAUAUUAAUUUCAGAAGAACAAUUUCUAAUUUAGUGUUGUGCUUGCAUUCAUUGUUAUGUCUAAAAAGAAAAUUCCAAACAAAAACAAAUAUAAAGUCACAGUUUGUCUUUACACACUGGAUAAUGAAUGUUUCAAUCGCGCUAAAUUGAACCAAGGCUUUUAGAAUAAAUUGUGGCCUCUAAGCUUGUGUGUAGUCAAUUACUAAAUGUGUAAUAUUAGCACAUAUUAGCACGACUAUUUCUUAAGUGCAGCCAGCCACCAAUUUCAUUUGAUUUGAAUUAAUAUAUUACUUAUAUACUCAUUUAGAUAUUUAUUUAUGUCCUCGAUGGAUUGAUUUGAACGCCGCAAUUUUAUUACCCCGUUGCAACGCACGGGCCCUUUUGCUAGUAAUAAUAAAGCAUGGAUUGACUUUAUCGGGUUCACCGUUACAAUACGCUUUUUUCUCAUGUCAUAAUACAUUUUUAUAAUUUGUAUUGACAAAAUCGUAAUAUAAAUGAGGUGGUACUAAUAACAUGUUCGUACGUGGCCAGGCCGAGCCAAAUCCCCCUAGCCGCCGCCGCACCACUCCCGGACGCGGCCGACCUCAACUCGCCCGCCGCCGCGGCUGCACCUCUGCCCGCUCACGAGCCUCCACCCGCGCGCUCAGCUCUGGGACACCCGCGACGCACCGCGCGCGCCCUCCGCUGCCAAACUGCGCCGGCUGCGCCGACCGCCGCGCGCCGUCGGAUGGCGGCGGUGGACCCUCUCUCAUGGAGGAUUACACCGGCUGCCCCGCGCUAGCCGAGAUCAUCCGCAUCCUCUCCGUGAAGCGCCAUCGUCGCGGGAGGACUUCGUUGCCUGGCUCGCCGACAACUUCAUGACGAGGCCCGCGUCCGCUUCUUCCCGUGCGACCUCCUCGACGGUGCCGCCAUGCUCGCCGCCGGGCGCGGCUGCUACGGCAUCUUCCACCUCGCCUCGCCCUGCACCGUCGACCGCGUCCUGGACCCCCAAAAGGAGCGGGUAGCGCCGGCCGUGGAAGGGACGCUCCAUGUGCCUUCCUUGGAGCCGGCGCCGACCGGCCUGUGCCCCCUCCCCGCUGCACAAAAUUUGCUUCUUUGUCCCCACUUUGCUGCACAAACUCUGUGCCUCUGCUACGGCCAUUCUUCGCUCCAUGGCCUUCCACGAAUCUCAACCCUGGCAACUGGAAUGAUUCCGCCAAGGAUCAAUGCUAGCAUGGCCAUGUUUCUUCACUUGAAGGGUGGACCAUAGUGGCUUCACUGCUGGCGGAACGGCAGAGGGCUUGGCUGCUACCAGGGUGAUUCAAAGGGAGUAUAUAGGUAGAGUUUUUGCAGCCUCUUGCACAAACAUGAUUAAUGGUAGAUUCUAUUCCAUGACAUGAUUUUGCAGCUAUAAUGAUAUGUUUCAUGCGAGAGGACAUAAACUUGCAUCAUAUUUUUCUGUCCAGUUAGUUCCAAAUUACAAUGUUUGUGCUAUCAGUGACAAUUCGGUGGAAUAAGAUGAGUCAUAUAUACACCCAAUGUAAGCUUUCACAUCAGCCUUUGCUCUUGAUUGUCUUUGCAAGUCCAUGGAUAUAAUUUUUAGGAUUUUCCUUUACUCAUAGCAAGUGAUGAAUGUUUUGUCCUUCAACCCUUUAGGUGUAAAUACAUGUGAUGUGGCUAGCAAAGUUGGUAACACGCACAGUAUAACCAUUAUGAUCUGCACAGGGAUAUCACCUAGGUGCAUAAAACAUAAUCAUUCAGUUUUUAUUUGGCAAGCUGGAGCUACCCGGAACUUUCGAUUUGGUGCCAAGAUGGAUGGAUUCAACUAAGUGACCCACUAUCAGGUCAUAAAUCAUUUCUUUUGUUGAAGGAAGAGACUCCAUUUUCUGUCGAGGACCGAAUCGCACUAACCAAUCGGCUUACUUGGUUAGAAGAAAUUGAGAAAGGGGAGCAUCUUACACCUAAUAGGAAGCAGUGGUCUAAUCCUAAUCUCACCCAAUAGACGUACAUUACAACAAAAUUUUCUUACAUGCUGCCGCCUAUAUUUUUUCAUUACUAACAUAACCUUUUUAGAUCACCCGCAAAAAAAGCCCUUUUCAGAUCAAGUGUGUCUUGCAUUACAUUUGGUCAACUAUACUGCAACUUCAAACCAUAAUGCCUCUGUAUGUUGACUGUAUUUUUUGGAAUUGAAUUAUGUAUUCAAAGCUAUUGUUCAGCAUGGACACCGUUUAAAAAUCAUACAAGGGGCACACAAAAUGUAUAUGUACUUUUCUGUUUGAAUCUCUCACUAAUAAUAAAGCACGGAUUGGGUCUCCGGGUUCACCGUCGCGGCGUUUUUGCAAAGAAGUCCCUGUGCUUUUUGAUAAUUAACCCGCAGUACAGUUUUGACUGGUGAACAAAGGGAAAACGUUUCGUGUAUUGGCUUGGGACUCGGCUUGGCCUUUAGGGAAAAAAUAUAGCAUGGCGGCCUGUCCUCUCUGAGUACGCACAACAGCACGGGUCCUCUUCCUGGGGACGGCACGGCAGCGCCGCCAUGAAUCAAGCCGCCGCGCGCGGCCGGUACACCUUUCCCGCUACCCUCCAGCAGCGCGGCCGUUGCCCUUUUCUUCCCCUCCUCACCCGCCCCAACUCCUCACCCCCAGCCUCCUCGGCCUCAACUCGGACGUCUCCGAUUUGGAUAGGAUUCGACGCCGCCACGCGCGGCCGGUCUUCCUCUCUAGCUAUCCUCCAGCAGCGCCGCCGUUGCCCUGUUCUUCGCCUCCUCACCCGCCCCAACUCCUCACCCCCAGCCUCCUCCGCCUCGAGGAGGACGGCUCCGAUUUGGAGCUCAAGUACUGCCUCCUGACACCUCCAUCCCCAAGUACGUCCUCCCGUCAGACGAGGACGAGAUUUGGAUUGGGGCGCAACAGAGAUGAGGAAGGACAAAGCAUGAAUAGCUCCAGUGAGAGUGAACGGAUAUGAACACCACAACCCUCUCAGGGGUUGUUGGCUGAUCAGGAUACCCAAUUCUCAAACAAGCAUGCUGAGAUGCUCAAGAUAUGGAAGUUCGCCCACAAGCUCGACCGCCAGGUGAACAUGUCAAAGGUGCAGAUGGACAUGAUGAAGCCGUGAAUUGUCACGCAAGUCACUGAGCUUCUUGGGUUCGAAAAACUACCUAACUGCUAUUAUCCUGAAUUUAGUUUUAUCUAAACUAAGAGGACCACAUGUGCUUCUCUAACAAAGAAUUACUCAUUUGGUGUUCUUUUGCACUGCUGAUUUUAGUUCAAAUUGGUGUGAGUGCGACCUUUUUGUCAUGUUGGAUAAGGCUUUCUGUAUCACAUGGAUGUGACCUGUAGUAUGGUGUAGAAAAGUGAUGAAAGGUAUUAGUUUGAAUUAAUUUGGCAGCAAUAGUUUAUCAA